ACAGAGGUGGCAAGCGUUGUUCGGAUUUAUUGGGCGUAAAGGGUCCGUAGGCGGUUUGAAAAGUCAGAUGUGAAAGCCCACAGCUCAACUGUGGAACUGCAUUUGAAACUUUCAGACUAGAGUAUGAGAGGGGUUAAGGGAAUUCCCGGUGUAAGGGUGAAAUCUGCAGAGAUCGGGAGGAACACCAGUCGCGAAGGCGCUUAACUGGCUCAUUACUGACGCUCAGGGACGAAAGCUAGGGUAGCAAACGGGA
rnacentral:rRNA from 1 species